rnacentral:misc_RNA from 1 species
AACUAGCCAUGUGCAUAGUCACAAAAUCAACAGCAAUUCAUAGAACAUAAAAAGUUGCCCAAUCGCUGGCAUAAGAGAAGAACGUGCUAAAAGAGGGUACUUCAGAUAUCUUCUUGCAAUGGGCCCUUGUCACUUAUUAAUGGUGCUUCUUCUCAAAAAGCCCAUCUGGUCCCCAUGGGAACUCCUUGUUACGAAUGUGCAAAUAUGGGAACGGAGGAGGCUCUUCAUGGUGGCGAUGGCCCUUUGAUAGAUUAUAAAUAGCUAAGAUAGUGCAUGUUGCAAUGCCCAAAUAUGUUAUCUUCUCC